rnacentral:lncRNA from 1 species
UAUGCGGGAUGAUCUCCGAGUUGCACCGACAAUGAACCCUUGCCGGUCUUCUUCUCUGUUCUGACUCAAACGUCUUGAUCUCUACCCUUUCUUCAGAGGACGACCUAACGAAAUCACAUGCCUCCUCGCGAAGAUUCGUUGCCUUGUCUCUUUCUUUAGUUCUCUAUCCUUUAAAUUUGUUUCUCACACGUUAUCGCAGAUUCUCUAGCUAAAACAGCACGUUUUGUUUCGGGUCCAGUUUUUGACCAAGAUCUUGUUCACGUUUAAAUGGCAAUAAUAUGUUAAUCUAAUAAUAGUGAGAGGAAAAGUUUUACACUAAGUUUCACUUUUUAAUUUUCUCUUUUUUCAACUUUUUAUAUCUCAUUAUUUUACUCUAUUAUUUACCAAUCAAAGCCUUAGAGAGUGAGGUUACGAUAAGAAGAGUUUAAAGAUUAUUAGUCAUUUUUAUCU